rnacentral:rRNA from 1 species
AUGAUUGCUAAAUGUUCUUGCAAGCUCUUUGAGUCCAAUGGCAUUGUGUGCCGCCAUGUUAUACGCGUCUUGAGGGGUGCAAAGAUAAAUGAGCUUUCAACCUUUUAUGUACUCAAAAGAUGGGAGAAAAUGUGCAAAAGUCAGCCUCCGUUGUUCCUCAAACUAUACAAGAAGAAGAAGAAGAAUCAUUCAUUGGUAGCACCAUGCCUGCCCAAGUUGAUAUCCUGA